rnacentral:lncRNA from 1 species
AAAAAAGAGACAUUUUAAUUGGAUAAUAAAGUCAUACGAGGGACGAGUAAGGCCCCAAAGCAAUACAUUCCUGGCCAGUCAUGGACUGUUCAAGACACUGACUCAGAGCUCUGGGCCAAACCUCUGUCUUGAAUAUAUUUUAAUUAAAAUAUAAUGAAAUAUAUUUAAUUAAAAUGAAAAUGAUGAUUUAAACAUUUUUUUAAAAUUUACUUUUAAAAACAUUUUUGUCUUUUUUUAGGGCCGCACCUAUGGCAUAUGGAGGUUCCCAGGUGCAGCCCUAAAAAGAAAAAAAAGGAAAAAAAAAAGAAAAAGAGGGGUCUUGCAGAGACCACUGAUGAUGUGCCUUGAAUGGAAGAGGUUUCAUGAUAGAACUCAGAAGAAAAAAACACUGGGGUUCCCAUCGUGGCUCAGCGAGUUAAGAACCUGACCAGUAUCUGUGAGGAUAUGGGCUUGAUCCCUGGCCUCUCUUAGUGGGUUAGGGAUCUGGCAUCGACAUAGCUGCAGUGUAGGUCACAGAUGUGGCUCCGAUCUGGCGUUGCUGUGGCCGUGGCGUAGGCCAGCAGCUGAAGCUCUGAUUCGACUCCUAGCCUGGGCACUUCCAUAUGCUGCAGGUGCAGCCCUAAGAAGAAAAAAAAAAAGUCCAGCAUCCACUGAGAAUGUGUUUCCAUACAAAGUCUGCGCACACCUGAAGGACGAAGAGGGAGCACGCAGGCGUGGGAAGGAGAGCUGCAGUGUGGUAGAUGACAGCCUCAGGGCUCCGAAUACUCUUCACAAUUCUUCUUAACCUCCUUAGUAGCCGCUGGCCACCCUCCACUCUAUCGAUCCAGCCCUCAGGCGUCUAUGCAGACUGGGGCGUCCACUGCACACUUCUCUGCCCUCUGUCUGGCGAAUUCCCACACUUCUUUACAACUCAGCUUAAACACUGCCCCCCCCACCUCACCCCCCGGCAGGAGGCAUCCCCCUGCCUCCCAGAGCUGAUUCACUGCCUCUUCUUAUCUUUCCCAGACAACCAGUGAUGGCUCGAGCUGAGCCGCUUCAACACUAGUCUCUUCUUAGAAGCACAGCCUUUCAGGGAGUGGAGAGAAACACUGGGGCCGUGCCAGCCAAGGGAGGAAAAGUCUGGCCUGGGAGACGGGAGAGCUGGGGUGGACUGGACAGUGAAGGGGGUGAGGCCCCUGGGUGAUUUUUGCCUUGGCUUUCCCUUUCAAUUCCCUAGCCCGGCCCUGCCAAGCCAACCAAUUCUGUCAAAUCUUAUUUCUCAGGUGCCUGUGAUCCCAAGACACCGUGGUGCGGGAUUGCAACGCCACGGCCAUUCUUUGAGUGUUGGACCCAGGCAGGGAGGGAAGGCUUGGACGUGAGCAAUGUCAGAUAACAGUGGCAGAAUAGAGUGAAAGACAGCAGAACAGGACAGCAGAAAAGGGAUGGCCUGUGGGCACUGAAUGGUCUGGGUGCAGGGGGCAGGUGCCUGCAGGGGCUGCAAAGGGAAGUCCUCUGAGAACCGGCCCAAUGUCCAGGAGGAUGCAGGCUGGAUGGGGAAGGGGGACUGCAUGCGAACGGUCCACGAGGAGCCCCCGGAUUGGAGGCCAGAACAGAAGAAAACAUCAGGGCGUCUGGGAGGGUUAUCAGGGCCAGAAUUUUGAGGCCCUCGCAAGCCAGGCAGAGGGACAGUGCUGGGAAAACGGCGGUGAGAAAUGCAGAAAGCCGUGCAGCUGAUGAGAGGUGUUUAGGGGGAAAUGGGUCUGGGGGCGGCCCUUCGGGAGGCUGAGGGAAAGAACCCAGUUAGUAAACUCCUCCGAAAUCACAGCCGGGCAGGAGGCACAUGGUACUAGAGUCUCACGUCGUGUCCCCCCCCCCAACCCCCGUCAGCACGACUGACAUCAGCAGCUCACUGGCGCACACUUGCCCCUGACUCCAGGUGCAACUCCAGAGGGUUUUUUAGGCCACUCUGGGCUCCUGGCAGCCCCUACCGAUCCAUCCAGGGUGAUGGGUCAAAUCUCCCCGCCUUGCGGGUUCGAUCAGUCAGGCGAUGUUAUGGGGCACUGACACGCAUCCUCAAAUUCCAGUGGCUUAAAGCGGUGAAGGUUCAUCGCUCAUUCAGGCUACCUGUCCAUCACAGUUGACCAGAGAUGGCCGUCAGUGCCAGCACCGUCCAGACAGACUGACAGGGCAGCCCCUAUACAGGGCACUGCUGGGCACCAAGGCAGGGGAGAGGGAGGGAGAGAGAGAGAUACAUCUCUGGAAGGUCUCUCACUAGCGUUUCAUAUGAAAGCCUGAAAAGGCAUAUCCCUCUGUAUGCCACUCAUUGGCCAGAACUGGUCACAGCAGGCAAGGCCGUGGAAUCUUAAUCUCCAAAAGGCAGAGAGUUAGAAAAAAAUAAAAGAAAGGCCUGGAGUUCACAUUGUGGUUCAGCAGGUUAAAAACGCGACGGGUAUCCAUGAGGAUGAGGGUUUGAUCCCUGGCCUUGC